rnacentral:lncRNA from 1 species
GCGUCCUUAUAAAAACACAAAAUUCUAAACAAAUAAAAUUCUAAUUACACUAAUCGUUAAAUUCUAUUGGCGUCAGGCACGGACCUAGGCACAACAGUGAGGGGGCACUUUCCCCCAUUGUGUUUUUAAUUUUUUUUUUUAAAAAAAAUAGUUAUACAUAUUAUAUAAUGUGACCCAUCUCAAAUUUUAAAUGAUCCUACUAUAAAUAAAUUAAAUUCAAUUAGCAAAGUUUUAAAUUUAUUUUUUUAUUUUUCUAUCAUUUUGACUAUUAUUUAAUCUAAUCAAAUUUAGUUUUUGUGUCGUCACUCUUUUAUUCCAUUAAACUCUCCUCUUAUUUUUAUAUUUUCAACAUUUUUUUUCUAUUUCUUGUCUAGUGGUCAUCCUCUCUUCAUCAAAAAGAAAAUUUCAAAUUCUCCAUGUUUUAUAUAUAACUCUCCAUGACUCUAUGUAUGUAUUUUCUAAUUUCAUUGUUUCUCUUUUAAUAUUUUCAAUUGAAAAUUUUAAUUCAAACAAUUAUAGUUUAGGUAUUAAUCUAAUGUUUUAUUCUCUUCAUUAAUUUA